CUUGGUUCCUCAGGCCCCUGUGAAGUUAGGUUGAAAAUGAUAAUAAAGACAACAAAAAUAAUCAGAAAAAGUCAAAAUCUAGAAAUGAGAAAAAGGCAUAGAUCACCCUUAUUCCUGUGUAUCCAAACACAUCAUCUUAUAACUGGGAACACUUUGCUCUUAGAAAAUCUUGAUCUCUGGUUAUUACAACUAUUGGGACCAAGACAAUAUUAAAGGUCCAGACCUUGACGAUAAUGCUCAGGAGAUAUUUAAGCAUGGAAGAGAGGCACUGAUUACAAAAGCAAGUAACUUUUAAUUUGAAUGAAGAGCCAUCACAAUGUUCUUCAGAAUUUCAAAGACAUUCUACAUGGAUUAUUGAACAACAACAUGAAAUGAACUCUCUAAGAACCCCCAUGUGCUUUUAGUUUGAUGUGAAAUACAGCAGACAAGAUUUUUGCCAACAUUAGAUCUAGGGAAUGGGGUGAUAUCAAGAAUUAUAGCCUUGACUUUCACUUGUUAUCUUUUGCAAACCAAACCAAAGUUCUGACCAUUAAUUGGCUUGAAUGCGCUGAGUUCAUUAGAUUCCAGGAUGAUUUAAAAUUUUCCAAAGAACAUUCUGUAUGGCCAUAGGACAUAAACCCUAAUAGAUGCAAUAGGAUUUAACCCUUUAUAUAAGAGAGAAUUUUGAACUUGGGGUCAAAAUAGGUUUAAAAUGAGAAACUCAUAUCAAAAAUAACAACCAAACCAUGUACUAGCCACUACUAUCAUUAAAAUACAAUUUGUUGCUUUGUAGACAUAAGAUUGUACUAUUGGCAAGUGUUUUUUCAUGGCAAGAACCAAGCUGAUAUAAGGAAAUUCUAUAUGACUGAAAUUUCUGUGAAUGAUGUUCAGCUAAAAGCUAUCAUCCCAUGGUCAA